AAAUAUGUAGUUUCUAAGACGAUGCUGACGUUAGCCCUGUCUUAGAAAUUACAUAUUU
rnacentral:pre_miRNA from 1 species